AAAUGAUAAUGGAUUAAUGGUGUGGUCCUUCUGUGUGGGCUCUUUUUCUAGUGCACCCAUGCCAGAAUAAACUGUAGCCUUAAACCAUUGCCUAGCUUAUAUACCUGUGGGCUAUGAGCACUGAUGGUUGUGCAGUU
rnacentral:snoRNA from 14 species